CCCACUUACAAGUGAGAACACGCAAUAAUUGGUCUUCUUCUCUUCCUUCAUUAGGUUGCUGAGAAUAAUGGCUUCCAGCUCCAUCCAUGUCCCUGCAAAGGACGUGAUAUCAUUCUUUUUAUGGAUGCAUAGUAUUCCAUGAUCUCCAUUACACAAUCUCACCUAACUACCAGGAAAUAAAGUCCAGUGGAGUGGAAAAAGAAGGAGCGAGUGUAAGUGGUUAGCCAGCAGUCUUGGCCACCACGCAUAAAGGUCAUCUUGACUCCUGUUGACCCUCUGGUGGCAUGCACAUCCUUAAAGUCCAUCUCAGGUAUCACCAAUGGUUGGAAGCAUCCUCUGAUCUUCACCCUCCUCUGCUAUUCUCAAAACACUUGUGCAUGUAAUUAUCUCUGAAUUAUCUCUGUAGUGUGUGCUCCUUUGUAAUUCAUCUGUCCACCCUACUAUCCCUGAAACUCCUGGAAGGCAGGCAGCAUUGAG
rnacentral:lncRNA from 10 species